rnacentral:rRNA from 1 species
GAUGAACGCUGGCGGCGUGCCUAAUACAUGCCAGUCGAGCGAACAGAUAAGGAGCUUGCUCCUUUGACGUUAGCGGCGGACGGGUGAGUAACACGUGGAUAACCUACCUAUAAGACUGGGAUAACUUCGGGAAACCGGAGCUAAUACCGGAUAAGAUUUUGAACCGCAUGGUUCAAUAGUGAAAGACGGCCUUGCUGUCACUUAUAGAUGGAUCCGCGCCGUAUUAGCUAGUUGGUAAGGUAACGGCUUACCAAGGCAACGAUACGUAGCCGACCUGAGAGGGUGAUCGGCCACACUGGAACUGAGACACGGUCCAGACUCCUACGGGAGGCAGCAGUAGGGAAUCUUCCGCAAUGGGCGAAAGCCUGACGGAGCAACGCCGCGUGAGUGAUGAAGGUCUUCGGAUCGUAAAACUCUGUUAUCAGGGAAGAACAAACGUGUAAGUAACUGUGCACGUCUUGACGGUACCUGAUCAGAAAGCCACGGCUAACUACGUG